UAAAAAGUUUUUUAGGGUUCCGCUAUUUAAAGCAUAUUUGGGAUAUAGCAUGCAAAUAUGUCUGAUUUAGGGCUGGUCCGAGAAAAAACGGCAGGAAUGCUACACGGAAGGAUAAAAGCCUGGGAGAU
rnacentral:sRNA from 2 species